UACAGAGGGGGCAAGCGUUGUUCGGAAUUACUGGGCGUAAAGGGCGCGUAGGCGGCCUUCUAAGUCGAACGUGAAAUCCCCGGGCUCAACCCGGGAACUGCGUCCGAGACUGAAAGGCUCGAAUCCGGGAGAGGGAUGUGGAAUUCCAGGUGUAGCGGUGAAAUGCGUAGAUAUCGGAAGGAACAUCAGUGGCGAAGGCGGCUACCUGGAUUGAUACUGACACUGAGGCGCGAGAGCGUGGGGAGCAAACAGG
rnacentral:rRNA from 1 species